rnacentral:rRNA from 1 species
AUGGCCGGACGAGAUGACCUGAAGCUGCUCGGCACAUGGCCAAGCCCGUUUGUUACCAGGGUGAAGCUGGCACUCGCCCUGAAGGGCCUGAGCUACGAGGACGUGGAGGAGGACCUGUACAAGAAGAGCGAGCUUCUCCUCAAGUCCAACCCGGUGCACAAGAAGAUACCAGUGCUCAUCCACAACGGCGCCCCGGUCUGCGAGUCCAUGAUCAUUCUGCAGUACAUCGACGAAGUGUUCGCCGACACCGGCCCGUCCCUUCUCCCAGCGGACCCCUACGAGCGCGCCAUUGCUCGCUUCUGGAUGGCCUACGUUGACGACAAGGUUUAAAUUAUCUUCACUUACUUGAACUACUUGUCUCCGUUCCUUUACUUUUAGAUAUCCAACGAGCAACUUUGACCAUUAUUUUUCUCCGUGUUUCAGCUGGUAGCCCCAUGGAGGCAGUGGUUGAGGGGCAAGACAGAGGAGGAGAAAUCCGAGGGAAAGAAGCAGGCGUUCGCGGCGGUGGAGAUUCUUGAAGGGGCCCUGAGGGAAUGCUCCAAGGGAGGGGGCUUCUUCGGCGGCGACGGCCUCGGGCUCGUCGACGUUGCGCUGGGAGGCGUUCUGUCGUGGAUGAAGGUGACCGAGGUGUUGUCCGGUGACAAGAUCUUCGAUGCCGCCAAGACCCCGCUCCUGGCCGCAUGGGUGGAGCGCUUCAGCGAGCUCGACGCGGCCAAGAUGGCCCUGCCAGACGUGGGCAGGCUGCUUGAGUUCGCCAAGGCACGAGAGGCUGCCGCUGCACCGUCUAACUGA